UUCUCACACCUUAAUUUGAAUGUUUUCUACUAUUCCUAAUUCAUGGCCCCCUUUAAACCCCUUUAUUUGGUCCCAAACUCGCUUUUAAACAUGUGACAGUCAGUCACAGUCCGUUUGCAUUGUUGGCUGGAGUUGACUCGUAGAAGUAGACCGGAAGUUUUCGUUUUUUCAAUUAGACCAACCUAUUUUUUCUAUUAGGUUGCUGGUUGUAUCCCUUAGACUACUUUUUCAUAUUUUUUCAAUUAUAUGCAAUUAAUUGCUGAAUGUGAAGAUCAUGAAGAAUAAACUGCUGGCACAUAUGAAUUGUAAAUAAGUUAACCUAUUUAUGUGUUUGAAUGUUAAAAGAGUUAUUUUAAAAGAAUAUUUAUAAGUUGGAGCUCUAAGGAGGGGUGACACUUUACUCUGUUUGUGUGGUGAUAAGGAAGAAAAAACGAAUAAAAAUACAAAUGCAUAAACUUAUUGUAAAUAAGUUUAUAUAUUUUGACUGUUAUAAAAAAAAUUAAAGAAUAUUUCCAAGUUAAAAAAAAAAUACAGACAAACUAACAAAUAGCAGUUGCUUGACCUAACUACACCAUAAGUUUGAGUAAUUUCCCUUUGAAUGACGUCACCGGAAUUAGGUCCUCUCUAAAAAAUGGCAGACAGCUUCGACCAGGGCUACUUUACGAAGCCGAAUCUUAUUUAUUUAAGCACAUAUUUGCCAAAUUCGGUUUGGUAAAUGUAAAUAGAGGAUUUUUCCAUCAAGGCCGAAAAUGCGACAAAAACAGAAAAAACAGUCAGAAUGUAGAACCUGAAGCGGCAUACCUUUGACAUGAUGAUGGCAGCAUAUAAAGCAAUUGAUAAUAUAAUUGGUUAUAAAUCU